rnacentral:rRNA from 1 species
AUUAGAGAACUAAAAACUAAUAUAAAAUGGCGGUCUUUAUUAAUUAAAGAAACUCGCCCUUUUAUCGUAAAUACCCGCUAUCACCCAACUCUAUUCCUAGUUUAUAUACCGCCGUUUCAGAACUAAAAUAAAUACAAUUCCAAUUCUUAAAAUAACAAAAAUCAGGUCAAGGUGUAACCCAUAAUAAAGAUAGGGUAAGUUACAUUAAAAACAAUUUAAGGAAAAUUUUAAAAUAAUAAAAUUAGAAAAAGAAUUUAUAUGUACAACCUAGUUAAAAUCCAGAAUAGAAAAAACCAUAA